rnacentral:rRNA from 1 species
GGGGGAAUAUUGCACAAUGGGGGAAACCCUGAUGCAGCGACGCCGCGUGAACGAAGAAGGUAUUCGUAUCGUAAAGUUCUGUCCUAUGGGAAGAUAAUGACAGUACCAUAGAAGAAAGCUCCGGCUAAAGACGUGCCAGCAGCCGCGGUAAUACGUAUGGAGCGAGCGUUGUCCGGAAUUAUUGGGCGUAAAGGGUACGCAGGCGGUUUAAUAAGUCGAAUGUUAAAGAUCGGGGCUCAACCCCGCAAAGCAUUGGAAACUGAUAAACUUGAGUAGUGGAGAGGAAAGUGGAAUUCCUAGUGUAGUGGUGAAAUACGUAGAUAUUAGGAGGAAUACCAGUAGCGAAGGCGACUUUCUGGACACAAACUGACGCUGAGGUACGAAAGCGUGGGGAGCAAACAGG